UGGGGGAUAUUGCACAAUGGGCGCAAGCCUGAUGCAGCGACGCCGCGUGGGGGAUGAUGGCCUUCGGGUUGUAAACUUCUUUUGCUCUGAACAAGGCGCACUUUGGGGUGUGUUGAGUGUAGGGGUUGAUUAGCGCCGGCUAACUACGUGCCAGCAGCCGCGGUAAUACGUAGGGCGCGAGCGUUGGCCGGAAUUAUUGGGCGUAAAGGGCUUGUAGGUGGCUGGUUGCGUCUGUCGUGAAAGCUCAUGGCUUAACUGUGGGUUUGCGGUGGGUACGGGCUGGCUUGAGUGCAGUAGGGGAGGCUGGAAUUCCUGGUGUAGCGGUGGAAUGCGCAGAUAUCAGGAGGAAUACCGGUGGCGGAGGCGGGUCUCUGGGCUGUUACUGACACUGAGGAGCGAAAGCAUGGGGAGCGAACAGG
rnacentral:rRNA from 1 species